AACGAACGCUGGCGGCAGGCUUAACACAUGCAAGUCGAACGCCCCGCAAGGGGAGUGGCAGACGGGUGAGUAACGCGUGGGAAUCUUCCCAGGGGUACGGAAUAGCUCAGGGAAACUUGAGGUAAUACCGUAUGAUGCCGAAAGGCCAAAGAUUCAUCGCCCUUGGAUGAGCCCGCGUAGGAUUAGCUAGUUGGUGAGGUAACGGCUCACCAAGGCGACGAUCCUUAGCUGGUUUGAGAGAAUGACCAGCCACACUGGGACUGAGACACGGCCCAGACUCCUACGGGAGGCAGCAGUGGGGAAUCUUGGACAAUGGGCGCAAGCCUGAUCCAGCCAUGCCGCGUGAGUGACGAAGGCCUUAGGGUUGUAAAGCUCUUUUGCCGGGGACGAUAAUGACGGUACCCGGAGAAUAAGUCCCGGCUAACUUCGUGCCAGCCGCCGCCGUAACAC
rnacentral:rRNA from 1 species